rnacentral:rRNA from 1 species
GACGAACGCUGGCGGCGUGCUUAACACAUGCAAGUCGAACGGAAAGGCCCUGCUUUUGUGGGGUGCUCGAGUGGCGAACGGGUGAGUAACACGUGAGUAACCUGCCCUUGACUUUGGGAUAACUUCAGGAAACUGGGGCUAAUACCGGAUAGGAGCUCCUGCUGCAUGGUGGGGGUUGGAAAGUUUCGGCGGUUGGGGAUGGACUCGCGGCUUAUCAGCUUGUUGGUGGGGUAGUGGCUUACCAAGGCUUUGACGGGUAGCCGGCCUGAGAGGGUGACCGGCCACAUUGGGACUGAGAUACGGCCCAGACUCCUACGGGAGGCAGCAGUGGGGAAUAUUGCACAAUGGGCGGAAGCCUGAUGCAGCAACGCCGCGUGCGGGAUGACGGCCUUCGGGUUGUAAACCGCUUUCGCCUGUGACGAAGCGUGAGUGACGGUAAUGGGUAAAGAAGCACCGGCUAACUACGUGCCAGCAGCCGCGGUGAUACGUAGGGUGCGAGCGUUGUCCGGAUUUAUUGGGCGUAAAGGGCUCGUAGGUGGUUGAUCGCGUCGGAAGUGUAAUCUUGGGGCUUAACCCUGAGCGUGCUUUCGAUACGGGUUGACUUGAGGAACGUAGGGGAGAAUGGAAUUCCUGGUGGAGCGGUGGAAUGCGCAGAUAUCAGGAGGAACACCAGUGGCGAAGGCGGUUCUCUGGGCCUUUCCUGACGCUGAGGAGCGAAAGCGUGGGGAGCGAACAGGCUUAGAUACCCUGGUAGUCCACGCUGUAAACGGUGGGUACUAGGUGUGGGGUCCAUUCCACGGGUUCCGUGCCGUAGCUAACGCUUUAAGUACCCCGCCUGGGGAGUACGGCCGUAAGGCUAAAACUCAAAGGAAUUGACGGGGCCCCGCACAAGCGGCGGAGCAUGCGGAUUAAUUCGAUGCAACGCGUAGAACCUUACCUGGGUUUGACAUGGAUCGGGAGUGCUCAGAGAUGGGUGUGCCUCUUUUGGGGUCGGUUCACAGGUGGUGCAUGGCUGUCGUCAGCUCGUGUCGUGAGAUGUUGGGUUAAGUCCCGCAACGAGCGCAACCCUUGUUCACUGUUGCCAGCACGUUAUGGUGGGGACUCAGUGGAGACCGCCGGGGUCAACUCGGAGGAAGGUGGGGAUGACGUCAAGUCAUCAUGCCCCUUAUGUCCAGGGCUUCACGCAUGCUACAAUGGCUGGUACAGAGAGUGGCGAGCCUGUGAGGGUGAGCGAAUCUCGGAAAGCCGGUCUCAGUUCGGAUUGGGGUCUGCAACUCGACCUCAUGAAGUCGGAGUCGCUAGUAAUCGCAGAUCAGCAACGCUGCGGUGAAUACGUUCCCGGGGCC